UUCCUCUUAAGGAAAUCAUUUUGUUUACUUUUCCUUAGUAUUGUUUUUUUGUUAAAUUAUGGGGUCUAUUAAGGGGCCCUGGCCCAGAAUGAAACCAUGAAAUACACACUAUAAAGAGAAUUAAAUGCCUGUUAUAACAACUCACACAGGGGUGUAACUGGCAAAUGAAAAUAAACAUGCAUGCAAGAUCAGGCCAAUCCAUUUUUACUACUAAGAAUGGUACGAAGCCUGAAAAUUAGGUCAAACCAGAGAAGAAUAAAUCCUAAAAAAAUCUUGAAUUUUGCGAUUUAAAAAAAAAUCUCCACCCGAAACUAUUUUUGCCCCCAAAAUUCUGAUUUAAUCAGCUGUGAUUUUCAAUGAUUUUUUAAGUUUUAAAAUUGUGAAAAAAUUGCUCGAGAAAUGCAUUUACUAUCCACCUGUCACGACACCCUAACCAUGCAAAAUCGCUGUUUAAUUGAGUUUUUUCAUUGAUUUUUAGCAUAGAACUGAGUGCUAGCCAUUGCGAUGUAGUUCACCUCCAAAGAUUCAUCAUAUGUCAUCAGGUUGCUAAGGUAAAUCAUAGGAGCAUCUGGUGGUGUAUGGGCAAUCCUGCAUCACCCAAAAAUAUUUCAUUUGUUAGUUUUAUUUUAUUUUUUUACAUUUCUGGAUACCCAUUUGGACGAAUAAGAGAUUCCAACUCUCAGAAUUGUCAAAUUGCUUUUUCUUGCCGACUGCCCAAAAUAGUAGAUUUUUAUUUGAAGUCAGAUGGAGGACAAAAUUUGUAGGAAGAUUAAGGAAGGAAAAAUAAGCACAUUGGCGAAAGAAUCAGUUCAAAAGCAUUAACGGUUUGCAAGUUAUUAAAGUUCCAGUUUCUUGAAAAACCGAAAAAAAUUCUUCCAAGUCAGAUUUGAGGCAUUAAACGGUGUCGAACAGGCCCGAAAAUGGCGGGAAUUGGCGGAGCUGUUUCUUAGCGUAUUCUACACUCAGAGAGCUUUCCGACGCUUCAAACGGUUCGUAAAUCCGAUUCUCGGAUCAAAGUUAUGGCUGCCGGAGGUUGGACAAUUUUCCGGAAAGUUUCAAUUUUCGAAUCUGGCUGUAUUUUCAUAUUUCCAAUUUCAUGUUUUGGCAUUUGUCUGCCAAAUGGUAAUUUUCUAAAUUGUAAUUUUGGCUCCAAGCUGGAAAAGAUCUAUUUAGGACUCAUUCGAGGAAACUUGUAAUAGUUUAGGGAUGUGAGUUGUUGUAUGUGAAAUUUUGGAGAGUUUUGGUUUCUGGGUUGGAUAAUUUGCAUUGUAAAGGGUUUCUAGAAAACUUGGUAAGCUGUUGUAUUGCAGCCUGUGGGGAUUAUUCCUCGUAUUUGCAUGUAUGCUUGUAUUGCAGAUAGUUUUCAGAUAAUAAUAAUAAUAUCUCUUGCGUCU